rnacentral:ncRNA from 1 species
CGCUCCAUCGAUCGCGUCGGUGCCCCCAAAAGGGGCUUAAAUGGGAACGCGGUGCGGGAGGAAACUCCCUAAUCCGUGGCUGUCCCUGCAACUGUGAGCGGCGAGCAAGGCAAGGACGGACGCCCCAUGAUCGGGACGGCCAGCCACUGGAGCAAUCCGGGAAGGCCCCUGCCAAGGCUAUGACCCGCAAGCCAGGAGACCUGCCGAACGCAAGGGUCGCUC